rnacentral:rRNA from 1 species
CAUGGUUCAAAAGUGAAAGACGGUCUUGCUGUCACUUAUAGAUGGAUCCGCGCUGCAUUAGCUAGUUGGUAAGGUAACGGCUUACCAAGGCAACGAUGCAUAGCCGACCUGAGAGGGUGAUCGGCCACACUGGAACUGAGACACGGUCCAGACUCCUACGGGAGGCAGCAGUAGGGAAUCUUCCGCAAUGGGCGAAAGCCUGACGGAGCAACGCCGCGUGAGUGAUGAAGGUCUUCGGAUCGUAAAACUCUGUUAUUAGGGAAGAACAUAUGUGUAAGUAACUGUGCACAUCUUGACGGUACCUAAUCAGAAAGCCACGGCUAACUACGUGCCAGCAGCCGCGGUAAUACGUAGGUGGCAAGCGUUAUCCGGAAUUAUUGGGCGUAAAGCGCGCGUAGGCGGUUUUUUAAGUCUGAUGUGAAAGCCCACGGCUCAACCGUGGAGGGUCAUUGGAAACUGGAAAACUUGAGUGCAGAAGAGGAAAGUGGAAUUCCAUGUGUAGCGGUGAAAUGCGCAGAGAUAUGGAGGAACACCAGUGGCGAAGGCGACUUUCUGGUCUGUAACUGACGCUGAUGUGCGAAAGCGUGGGGAUCAAACAGGAUUAGAUACCCUGGUAGUCCACGCCGUAAACGAUGAGUGCUAAGUGUUAGGGGGUUUCCGCCCCUUAGUGCUGCAGCUAACGCAUUAAGCACUCCGCCUGGGGAGUACGACCGCAAGGUUGAAACUCAAAGGAAUUGACGGGGACCCGCACAAGCGGUGGAGCAUGUGGUUUAAUUCGAAGCAACGCGAAGAACCUUACCAAAUCUUGACAUCCUUUGACAACUCUAGAGAUAGAGCCUUCCCCUUCGGGGGACAAAGUGACAGGUGGUGCAUGGUUGUCGUCAGCUCGUGUCGUGAGAUGUUGGGUUAAGUCCCGCAACGAGCGCAACCCUUAAGCUUAGUUGCCAUCAUUAAGUUGGGCACUCUAAGUUGACUGCCGGUGACAAACCGGAGGAAGGUGGGGAUGACGUCAAAUCAUCAUGCCCCUUAUGAUUUGGGCUACACACGUGCUACAAUGGACAAUACAAAGGGCAGCGAAACCGCGAGGUCAAGCAAAUCCCAUAAAGUUGUUCUCAGUUCGGAUUGUAGUCUGCAACUCGACUACAUGAAGCUGGAAUCGCUAGUAAUCGUAGAUCAGCAUGCUACGGUGAAUACGUUCCCGGGUCUUGUACACACCGCCCGUCACACCACGAGAGUUUGUAACACCCGAAGCCGGUGGAGUAACCUUUUAGGAGCUAGCCGUCGAAGGUGGGACAAAUGAUUGGGGUGAAGUCGUAACAAGGUAGCCGUAUCGGAAGGUGCGGCUGGGUCACCU